UACGUAGGGAGCAAGCGUUGUCCGGAAUCAUUGGGCGUAAAGCGCGCGUAGGCGGCCUCAUAAGUCCGUUGUGAAAGUCAAAGGCUCAACCUUUGAAAGCCGAUGGAUACUGUGAGGCUAGAGUCCGGAAGAGGCGAGUGGAAUUCCUGGUGUAGCGGUGGAAUGCGCAGAUAUCAGGAGGAACACCAAUGGCGAAGGCAGAUCUCUGGGCCGUAACUGACGCUGAGGAGCGAAAGCAUGGGGGAGCGAACAGG
rnacentral:rRNA from 1 species